rnacentral:rRNA from 1 species
AUUGAACGCUGGCGGAAUGCUUUACACAUGCAAGUCGAACGGCAGCACGGGGCAACCUGGUGGCGAGUGGCGAACGGGUGGGUAAUAUAUCGGAACGUGCCCAAUCGUGGGGGAUAACGUAGCGAAAGUUACGCUAAUACCGCAUACGAUCUACGGAUGAAAGCGGGGGAUCGCAAGACCUCGCGCGAAUGGAGCGGCCGAUAUCAGAUUAGGUAGUUGGUGGGGUAAAGGCUCACCAAGCCAACGAUCUGUAGCUGGUCUGAGAGGACGACCAGCCACACUGGAACUGAGACACGGUCCAGACUCCUACGGGAGGCAGCAGUGGGGAAUUUUGGACAAUGGGCGCAAGCCUGAUCCAGCCAUGCCGCGUGCGGGAAGAAGGCCUUCGGUUGUAA